rnacentral:misc_RNA from 1 species
GAUGAAGAACGUAGCGAAAUGCGAUAAGUAAUGUGAAUUACAGAAUUCAGUGAAUCAUCGAAUCUUUGAACGCACAUUGCGCCCCCUGGUAUUCCGGGGGGCAUGCCUGUCCGAGCGUCAUUACAACCCUCAAGCUCUGCUUGGUGUUGGGCCCCGCCGCCCCGGCGGGCCCUAAAGUCAGUGGCGGUGCCAUCCGGCUCCGAGCGUAGUAAUUCUUCUCGCUCUGGAGGUCCGGUUGUGUGCUUGCCAUCAACCCCCAAUUUUUUUCAGGUUGACCUCGGAUCAGGUAGGGAUACCCGCUGAACUUAAGCAUAUCAAUAAGCGGAGGA